rnacentral:rRNA from 1 species
GUUUACACAUGCAAGCCGCACGGAGGCGAUAGAAUUGAAGCUUCGGUUGAUAUUUUAGGCGUCUAGUGGCGGACGGGUGAGUAAUGCUUAGGAAUUUGCCCAGUUGAGGGGGACAACAGUUGGAAACGACUGCUAAUACCGCAUACUACCCUACGGGGGAAAGAGGGGGCUCUUCGGACCUCUCGCAAUUGGAGAAGCCUAAGUGAGAUUAGCUAGUUGGUAAGGUAAAGGCUUACCAAGGCGACGAUCUCUAGCUGGUUUGAGAGGAUGAUCAGCCACACUGGGACUGAGACACGGCCCAGACUCCUACGGGAGGCAGCAGUGGGGAAUAUUGCACAAUGGGGGAAACCCUGAUGCAGCCAUGCCGCGUGUGUGAAGAAGGCCUUAGGGUUGUAAAGCACUUUCAGCGAGGAGGAAAGAGAAUAAGUUAAUACCUUAUUCUUGUGACGUUACUCGCAGAAGAAGUACCGGCUAACUCCGCGCCAGCAGCCGCGGUAAUACGGAGGGUACGAGCGUUAAUCGGAAUUACUGGGCGUAAAGCGCAUGCAUGUGGUAUGUUUAAGUCAGAUGUGAAAUCCCCGGGGCUCAACCUCGGAACUGCAUUUGAUACUGACAAAACUAGAGUCUUGUAGAGGGAAAGUAGAAUUUCAGGUGUAACCGGUGGAAUGCGUUAGAGAUCUGAAGGAAUACCCAGUGGCGAAAGGCGGCUUCCUGGACAAAGACUGACACUCCAGAUGCGAAAGCGUGGGGAGCAAACCAGGAUUAGAUACCCCUGGUAGUUCCACGCCGUAAACGAUGUCUAUUUAGAAGUCUGUGAUCUUGAAUCGUUGGGUUUCAAAGCUAACGCAUUAAAUAGACCGCCUGGGGAGUACGGCCGCAAGGUUAAAACUCAAAUGAAUUGACGGGGGCCCGCACAAGCGGUGGAGCAUGUGGUUUAAUUCGAUGCAACGCGAAGAACCUUACCUACUCUUGACAUCCAAAGAAUCCUUUAGAGAUAGAGGAGUGCCUUCGGGAACUUUGAGACAGGUGCUGCAUGGCUGUCGUCAGCUCGUGUUGUGAAAUGUUGGGUUAAGUCCCGCAACGAGCGCAACCCUUAUCCUAUGUUGCCAUCAAGUAAAGUUGGGGACUCAUGGGAGACUGCCGGUGAUAAACCGGAGGAAGGUGGGGACGACGUCAAGUCAUCAUGGCCCUUACGAGUAGGGCUACACACGUGCUACAAUGGGCAGUACAAAGGGUUGCAAACCAGCGAUGGUAAGCUAAUCUCAUAAAGCUGCUCGUAGUCCGGAUUGGAGUCUGCAACUCGACUCCAUGAAGUCGGAAUCGCUAGUAAUCGUGAAUCAGAAUGUCACGGUGAAUACGUUCCCGGGCCUUGUACACACCGCCCGUCACACCAUGGGAGUGGGUUGCACCAGAAGUAGAUAGCUUAACCUUCGGGAGGGCGUUUACCACGGUGUGAUUCAUGACUGGGGUGAAGUCGUAACAAGAUGACCGUA